rnacentral:lncRNA from 1 species
AAUCUAUACGUCACGGGUUUGAGCCGUGGAACCAGCCAUUAAUGCUUGCAUUAGGGUAGGUUGUCUACAUCACACCCCUUGGAGUGCGGGAUACCUUGUGCACCGGCUGCCCUACAAAAUAAGUCUCGCGGGAAUAUAUGUAUUAUUUUAUGCAUGGUAGAAUGUGGAAUAAGCAUACAGGAAUUGGCAAUACAUGAAUUAAAACUACUGAAACCUCAAAGAUGCCCGCAUCUACUCAGACAUAUAUUAUUUUAAUACAAUAAGCCAAACAACAAUAAGCCACGAGUUCGAGCCGUGGAACCAGCCAUUAAUGCUUGCAUUAGGGUAGGUUGUCUACAUCACACCCCUUGGAGUGCGGGAUACCUUGUGCACCGGCUGCCCUACAAAAUAAGUCUCGCGGGAAUAUAUGUAUUAUUUUAUGCAUGGUAGAAUGUGGAAUAAGCAUACAGGAAUUGGUAAUACAUGAAUU